GGAUAAUCUUUCUCAACCCUAUCCCUAAUCACUCCCAUUGAUAUGUAAACAUGUUAGAAAACAAGUGUUUCAUGAAUUCACACAUAUUCAGGGUUUAGAUACAACCUCUACAGAGGUUGGCCAGGACCUCUUGAAAUGACUGUCACUUCUCCUUCAUGGCUUGGGGUUGCAAAACUGAUCCGUUUAUCUGUACCUAGGUUUCCAGUAGCUAGCAGUUGCUACCAGUUAAACCAGAAAUUAAGUUUCAUUUCCCUUAUGAUAAUAUAGCUCUAUUCCACCAUUAUAAUUCUACACCCUAACUCCAACCCACUGUCUUCCAUUGUACAAGAUAAGACAAUGCUGGUCAAUAAAAAUUCCUUACUUCUCUUAGGAAAACCUCUAUUACUGAUGGUGGAUUGGGUUAGGAAUUUUAUAGUAUUCCAAAGAGAGCAUGUAAAAAGGCCUUUUCUCAAAAGCCUUCCUUUUUCUUCCCUCUUGUCACUCAGUACCAGAUAUGGGGUCAGGGUUACAAGUAUACUAUAGGAAAGAAUGAGUUUCAAUAUAAAUGGAUAUUCCAUGUUGAACUAAGCUACUCUCUUAAAAUCAGAUUCAAGUUUUUGUUUCAAAUUACCAAGUUUUUCUUACUUCCCUAAUUUCUUCAUCUACUAUAGACAGGAUUAAAAUGACUCAAAGGUAUUCCAAUCAAGUGGAGAAACCUAAAGGAAAAAUCUAGUUAGCCUAAAAAGCCUUGGCCUAAGAAAAAAUAAGGCAGAUGACAGUCAAGACAGGAUUCCUCCUACCCUCUUCCUUUUAACUGACCCACUACUGACAGAUCCAUACAAUACAGCAUGUUAGAAAUUUGGGUAAGAAGGGAUUGCAGUUGGAAAAAAAUAGAGUUCUCUAUAAACACUAUGAAAGAGUUACAUUUAAAACAUACUAGAAUUGUCCCACAAAUGUAUAUUUCGGAAGAAGUUUAUUAAGAGGUUUUAGGCUUUAAGCAUAUGUGAAAAGCAAAUUACAUUUUAAAGUAUAUAAUUUGUUUGCAUUUUCCACCUUCUCAAUGCCAAUGAAAUAUUCUAGGAGACUCUAUAAGAUAACCAAUUGAUUUUCUACUACUCCCAAAUUUUAACUUUGUAAUUUAAAGAGAAAUAGGCAAAUAGAGCUGCUGUAGUUCUGGUUCUCCCUGCAGGAUGAAGGGGGCCUGCAAAAUGUCUCCUACUUCCAUUCUAGUCAUUCAGCAAGGUACCUUCCUCUGGAUGCACUGUCUGUAUACUUUUGCCAUUUUGCAUCACAUAAUGAUUCUGCCGACCUUCACCAUUUGACUGUCAGUAAAAGAAUGUAUGUGCUCAUUUCUUCUUUUAUUAUAGCGCAGUGCUCUUCAUGAAGUCUGAAUCUUGUUUCAUUUGUGAUUGUAAUUAGCACUUGCUUCUUCAAGACUGGCUAAAUGAUGAUAAUCAGUGAAGUUGUGUGAUGGGCACGUGGAUGUGUAUUAUAUUUUUCUACUUUGGUUAAUAUUUGAAUAUUCCAAUAAGUUUUAAAAUAACUUGUUUCUGUUAUUAGAAUGGCCUGUCCAGAAGACAGCCAAAUACAUCCUUCAAAUAGACUUCACUGCAGGAGACAGAGUGGAUUCAUCCCGUAUUCUCCACAUGGACUUCCAUCUUCAUGAGUACUCCAAGAAGGUUGGGUUCAGUUGACUAUUGCAAAGUCUCAGGUAUGUCUUUAUCAGCAGCAUGAAAACGGACUAAUAGUACCAGUAGAGUGGGGCAUUGCUGAAAAGAUACCCGAAAAUGUGGAAGCAACUUUGGAACUGGGUGUUGAAAUAAUCUGGAGGGCUCAGAAGAAGAUAGGAAAAUGUGGGAAAGUUUGGAACCUCCUAGAGACUUGUGAAUGGCAUUGACAAAAAUACUGAUAGUGAUAUGAACAAUAAGGUCCAGGCUGAGGUGGUCUCAGAUGGAGAUGAAGACCUUGUUGGGAACUGGAGUAAAGGUGACGCUUGUUAUGUUUUAGCAAGGAGACUGGCAGCAUUUCACCCCUGCCCUAGAGAUUUGUGGAACUUUAAGCUUGAGAGAGAUGAUUUAGGGUAUCUGGUGGAAUAAAUUUCUAAGCUGCAAAGCAUUCAAAAGGUGACUUGGGUGCUGUUAAAAACAUUCUUUUUUAAAAGGGAAACAAGAACAUAAAAGUGGAAAAUUUGCAGCCUGAUGCAGUAGGAAAGAAAAACCCAUUUUUUUUUAAGAAGAAAUUCAAGCUGGCUGCAGAAAUUUGCAUAAGCAGCAAGGAGCCUAAUGUUAAUCCCCAAGACCAUGGGGAAAAUGUCUCCAGGUCAUGUCAGAGACCUUCAUGGCAGCCCCUCCCAUCACAGGCCCAGAGGCCCAGGAGGAAAAAGUGGUUUUGUGGGCUGGGCCCAGGGUGUCUGUGCUGUGUGCAGCCUAGGGACUUGGUGUCCCUAGGACUUGGUGUCCCUGGGACUGUGUCCCAGCUGCUCCAGCCAUGGCUGAAAGAAGCCAACAUAGAGCUUGGGCUGUGGCUUCAGAGGUUAGAGGCCCCAAGCAUUGGCAGCUUCCAUGUGAUGUUGAGCCUGCGGGUGCACAGAUGUCAAGAAUUGAGAUUUGAGAACCUCUGCCUAGAUUUCAGAAGAUAUAUGGAAACACCUGGAUGUCCAGGCAAAAGUUUGCUGCAGGGGCAGAGAACCUCAUGGAGAACCUCUCCUAGGGCAGUGUGGAAGGGAAAUGUGGGGCAGAGCCCCCACACAGAGUCCCUACUGGGGCACUGCCUAGUGGAGCUGUGAGAAGAAGUCCACAGUCCCAGAAUGGUAGACCCCAGAAUGGUAGAUCAACCACCAACUUGCAUCUUGUGCCUGGAAAAGCCACAGAUACUCAACAUCAGCCUGAGAAAGCAGCCAGGAGGGAGGCUGUACUCUGCAAAGCCACAGGGGCGGAGCUGCCCAAGACCAUGGGAACCUAUCUCUUGCGUCAGCGUGACCUGAAUGUGAGACAUGGAGUCAAAGGAGAUCAUUAUGGAGCUUUAAAAUUUGACUGCCCCACUGGAUUUCAGACUUGCACGGACCCUGUAACCCCUUUGUUUUGGCCAAUUUCUCUCAUUUGGAACAGCUGUAUUUACCCAAUACCUGUACCCACCCCCCCAUUGUAUCUAGGAGGUAACUAGCUUGCUUUUACAGGCUUGUAAGUGGAAGGGACUUGCCUUGUCUCAGAUGAGACUUUGGACUGUGGACUUUGGGGUUAAUGCUGAAAUGAGUUAAGACUUUGGGGAACUGUUGGGAAGGAAUGAUUGGUUUUGAAAUGUGAGGAUUAUGAAAUUUGGAGGAGCCCAGGGCAGAAUGAUAUGGUUUGGCUGUGUCCCCACCCAAAUCUCAACUUGAAUUGUAUCUCCCAGAAUUCUCACAUGUUGUGGGAGGGACCCAGGGGGAGGUAAUUGAAUCAUGGAGGCCAGUCUUUUCUGUGCUAUUCUCAUGAUAAUAAGUCCCACAAGAUCUGAUGGGUUUAUCAAGAGUUUCUGCUUUUGCUUCUUCCUCAUUUUUCUCUUGAUGCCACCAUGUAAGAAGUACCUUUUGCCUCCCACCUGAUUUUGAGGCCUCCCCAGCCAUGUGGAACUGUAAGUCCAAUUAAACCCUUUUUAUUCCCAGUC